rnacentral:snoRNA from 1 species
CUCACUUUAUGGUUCAGAGGCAUAAUGAUUGAAUUUCCAUGCCAUUGUGUGAGAUGAACCUCCCUCAAUCCUUAUUAUGAUAUUGGCAUAGUAUCUGUCAGAUG